rnacentral:rRNA from 1 species
UACAGAGGUCCCAAGCGUUGUUCGGAUUCAUUGGGCGUAAAGGGUUUGUAGGUGGCUUGCUAAGUCAGACGUGAAAUCCCUCAGCUUAACUGGGGAACUGCGUCUGAGACUGGCAAGCUUGAGUGCAGGAGAGGAACGCGGAAUUCCAGGUGUAGCGGUGAAAUGCGUAGAUAUCUGGAGGAACACCGGUGGCGAAGGCGGCGUUCUGGACUGUAACUGACACUGAGGAACGAAAGCCAGGGGAGCAAACGGG